CUGGGCUCGAAAUGUACCGGAAUCCGGCAGAAACGUCGGCGUCCAGCAAUAGACCGGUAUAUAGGUGCUGCAUGGCUGUCGUCAGCUCGUGUCGUGAGAUGUUGGGUUAAGUCCCGCAACGAGCGCAACCCUUAUCUUCAGUUGCUACCAUUUAGUUGAGCACUCUGACGAAACCGCCUCGGAUAACGGGGAGGAAGGUGGGGAUGACGUCAAGUCCUCAUGGCCUUUAUGUCCAGGGCUACACACGUGCUACAAUGGCCGGUACAAACCGCUGCAAACCCGCGAGGGGGAGCUAAUCGGAAAAAGCCGGCCUCAGUUCGGAUUGGAGUCUGCAACUCGACUCCAUGAAGCUGGAAUCGCUAGUAAUCGUGGAUCAGCAUGCCACGGUGAAUACGUUCCC
rnacentral:rRNA from 1 species